CGAGGGGAGUGGACAGGCGCGGGCGGUCGCACAAGGCUGACCUGAGGAAAGUCCGGACUCCGUGGGCAGGAUGCUGGCUAACGGCCAGGUGGUGUGAGCCACGGACAGGGCCAUAGAAACGAAAACCGCCCUAUUUUAGGGCAAGGGUGGAAAGGUGAGGUAAGAGCUCACCAGCGGUGCAGCGAUGCACCGGCUUGGCAACCCCCAUCCGGAGCAAGGUCAAGCAGGGGGUAGGGUGGCUCCGCCCAAAUUCCCCCGGGUAGGCCGCAUAGACAGAUGCCUGUCUAGACAGAAUCCGGCUUACAGCUUCCCUCGGGUA
rnacentral:RNase_P_RNA from 1 species